GUCCAGACCUGGCCCUGGGUUUCUGCCGGCUUCCUCCGCUUUGCCUUUGUUUCGCAGGUGCAGGCGACAUUUGGCAUCCUUGACCUUGAAGGAGGCCCUCUGCUUGACCGGCAGUGCUGCAGCCUCUAGAGAGGAUCCCAACCUUGCCCUGGAGCGGCACUGCCAGGCCCGUCCAGCAGAGGGCGCCACCCACCUGUGCAAUCCUUUCCGUUCCAGUGAAGGCGGCCCUGGCCUGCCGGGCAGGUACACUGAUAGCUGCCCGGGGUGUUGACGCAGCCAAAGCGGCAGCCUCCCUUGUUGAUGCUGCACUCGUCCACAUCUGUGGGGGGAGGAGGACACGUGGCGGAGGCGUGAGAGCCGAGGCCUGGGGCUGUGCGUGAGGACCUCUGCUAAGUGUCCAGAUACACGGCGGCGUCUGGCCGUUAGUAACACCUACUCUCCUGAGGCGGAGGCCAGCAACGGCCGAGGCCAGCAGGGACCAACUGCCUGGAGUUAGGGGAGCAGGUGAGUACUGAGCCCACAUCCCUCACUCCCCAGCUGACAGGCAGCCAUUCCCAAGACUGUGGGAGGGCUCUUCUCUCAAGUCCCUGACUCCCGGGCUGCAGGAAGGUUGGGUCAGGAGUGUGAGCUGGGAGCCUAGAGGAACCUGCUGUGAAGGGGCAGCCUUCAGGGAAGAGGAGCUGGCCUGAGGAGGCCAGAGAGGACUUCCAAGAGAGGCAGAAGGGCUGAGAAGAUGCUGGGGACGAGGGGUCCAGCCAGGAGACCAGACUGGAGCGGUCUGGAGAGACUCAGCCUGGCAGCGGUUGGUGCUAGCGGAUCCCAGCUGCCUGGGAGGAGGGGAGGCAGAAUGGCUGCUGAGAUGGUCCCUCAGCUGCACCAGGAGGCCCCCCAGGAGCCAGGUCUUUCUGUCUGGCUGCAGCAUGAAGCCCACAGGGCAGCUGCAGUGCACACCGCUCGCUGCGUCGUGGCACUUACUGUCGCAGCCUCCGUUGUUGACGGCGCAGGUCUCUGUUGGAGGAGGCGUGGGUGGCCAUGGGGUUACCGGCCUAGCAGAAUGCCUGGCCCAGGUAGCAGGGGCCGCCUCACGGGGGUUGCAUUAAAGCGGAAGCCCCGGCCUCCGGCCUCCCCUUCCGCCCAGCGCCCACCCCUCACAAACGCAGGAAGCUCUCCGCGGCCCUGCCCCCUACUUGAUUGAAACAAGGUGGACAGCAGUGAGGCAGGCCAAUGACACUGCCAAGCUGGGUCACCCACCUUUAACUCCUCCCGAAACCCUCAUGUCUACCUGGAAAUAAACUGGCUGGGG